rnacentral:rRNA from 1 species
AUUGAACGCUGGCGGCAGGCUUAACACAUGCAAGUCGAACGAGUGGCGGACGGGUGAGUAAUGCUUGGGAAUCUAGCAUAUGGAGGGGGAUAACUACGGGAAACUGUAGCUAAUACCGCGUACCAUAGGAUGAGCCCAAGUGGGAUUAGGUAGUUGGUGAGGUAAAUGCUCACCAAGCCGACGAUCUCUAGCUGGUCUGAGAGGAUGACCAGCAGCACUGAGACUAAGACACGGCCCAGACUCCUACGGGAGACAGCAGUGGGGAAUAUUGCGCAAUGGGGGCAACCUGACGCAGCCAUGCCGCGUAAAUGAAGAAGGCCUUCGGGUUGUAAAGUUCUUUCGGUAGCGAGGCGUUGACUACAGAAGAAGCACCGGCUAACUCCGUGCCAGCCGCCGCGGUAAUAC